AUACUGCUCGUUGCUUUCAUUGUCCAUGUCUUCGUUAUAUCCCUCUUUCCCACUUUCGCAUCCUUAGUCGUCGUUUGUGUUCUCCUUCGCCGUCGACAACUGAAUCCAUGGCCGGGAUCUUUGAUCUUGUGAAAUUAGGAGAGACUUGAUAUGAAAGCAAUCUGAAUUGACCUAAGAUGUAGUCACAACAGAGAUCAAUCACCAAAAAGAGCCGCUUUAUCAACCGAUCAAUCUUACGGUGAAGUUGAAGCAGAGAAUGGAGAAUUAGGUUUUGGUUUGGAAGAAGAAGAGAGAAUGGAGAAUUUGGAUUUCUCAAGAAAGAAGAGAGAAGAAGAGAGAAUGGAGACUUUUCUCAAGGAAGAAGAGAGAAGGGGUGUAUUUAUAAGUACACGUUUGUUCAAUGAAAAAAGGAAAUUUUGAUUGUUUCCUUUUCUUAUUUGAGUAGCAGAAACAAAAAGGAAAUUUUAUCACAACGGUAACAAAAGGAUACGCCUAACCCUAACCGUAUCAC